GCCUGCCUGGCUCAGUCGGUAGAGCAUGUAACUCUUAAUCUUGGGGUUGUGAGUCAGAGCCCCACGGUGGGCA
rnacentral:tRNA from 1 species